GACGAACGCUGGCGGCGUGCUUAACACAUGCAAGUCGAACGGAAAGGCCCUGCUUUUGUGGGGUGCUCGAGUGGCGAACGGGUGAGUAACACGUGAGUAACCUGCCCUUGACUUUGGGAUAACUUCAGGAAACUGGGGCUAAUACCGGAUAGGAGCUCCUGCCGCAUGGUGGGGGUUGGAAAGUUUCGGCGGUUGGGGAUGGACUCGCGGCUUAUCAGCUUGUUGGUGGGGUAGUGGCUUACCAAGGCUUUGACGGGUAGCCGGCCUGAGGGGGUGACCGGCCACAUUGGGACUGAGAUACGGCCCAGACUCCUACGGGAGGCAGCAGUGGGGAAUAUUGCACAAUGGGCGGAAGCCUGAUGCAGCAACGCCGCGUGCGGGAUGACGGCCUUCGGGUUGUAAACCGCUUUCGCCUGUGACGAAGCGUGAGUGACGGUAAUGGGUAAAGAAGCACCGGCUAACUACGUG
rnacentral:rRNA from 1 species